UACGGAGGUUCCAAGCGUUGUUCGGAAUUACUGGGCGUAAAGGGAGCGCAGGCGGGCAAGUCAGUCUGAAGUGAAAUCCCGGGGCUCAACCUCGGACUUGCUUCGGAUACUGCUUGUCUUGAGUUCGUGAUAGGAAGACGGAAUUCAGGGUGUAGCGGUGAAAUGCACAGAUAUCCUGAGGAACACCGGUGGCGAAAGCGGUCUUCUGGCGCGAAACUGACGCUGAGGCUCGAAAGCGUGGGUAGCAAACGGGAUUAGAUACCCCGGUAGUCCACGCCGUAAACGUUGUAUACUAGGUGUAGGAGGUAUCGACCCCUUCUGUGCCGCAGCUAACGCAUUAAGUAUACCGCCUGGGGAGUACGCGCGCAAGCGUGAAACUCAAAGGAAUUGACGGGGGCCCGCACAAGCGGUGGAGCAUGUGGUUUAAUUCGAGGCAACGCGAAGAACCUUACCCAGACUUGACAUCUAGGAAAGGUCCUGGAAACAGGAUCGUGCCCGCAAGGGAAUCCUAAGACAGGUGUUGCAUGGCU
rnacentral:rRNA from 1 species